rnacentral:ncRNA from 2 species
ACCUAGGGUAGAGGUGCUGUAGUUAAGAGUAUUUAUUUGGAGUCGGUAGGCGUUGAUAAAUUAAAAAAGGAGUUACAGCCGAAGAAUAUAAGCCGACAGGAUUAUAUUCUGGCCUUACAUAAAAUAUAUGGAAGGUUGUCACUGAUGAAAUGCAAUAAUAUGCAUUGAGUGGAGAGCUACAGGGUAC